UGUACGGUGGCCCUGAGGUGCGAUAUACAACGGCAAAUAAGAAAACACAACGCAAAAAGAGAAAACACAACAUAAAAAGAGAAAACACAAAGAAAAAUAAGAAAAAAAACGAAAAAGAAAAAACACAAUACAGAAAGAAAACACAAUGGUUAAUGUCUUUGUGUUUUCUUAUUUGCCGUUGUGUUUUCUCUUUUUGUGUUGUGUUUUCUGGUUUACCAUUGCAUUUUGCACCUCAGGGCCACCGUACA